AUUGAACGCUGGCGGCAUGCCUUACACAUGCAAGUCGAACGGUAACAGGUCUUCGGAUGCUGACGAGUGGCGACCGGGUGAGUAAUACAUCGGAACGUGCCUAGUAGUGGGGGAUAACUACUCGAAAGAGUGGCUAAUACCGCAUGAGAUCUACGGAUGAAAGCAGGGGAUCGCAAGACCUUGUGCUACUAGAGCGGCCGAUGGCAGAUUAGGGAGUUGGUGGGAUAAAAGCUUACCAAGCCGACGAUCUGUAGCUGGUCUGAGAGGACGAUCAGCCACACUGGGACUGAGACACGGCCCAGACUCCUACGGGAGGCAGCAGUGGGGAAUUUUGGACAAUGGGCGAAAGCCUGAUCCAGCAAUGCCGCGUGCAGGAUGAAGGCCUUCGGGUUGUAAACUGCUUUUGUACGGAACGAAAAGCCCCGGGUUAAUACCCUGGGGUCAUGACGGUACCGUAAGAAUAAGCACCGGCUAACUACGUGCCAGCCGCCGCGGUAA
rnacentral:rRNA from 1 species